GAACACUCUAAGUCUAACCAUGGGCUGGAGUUGGGUGUUUCUCUUUCUCCUGUCAGUAACUGCAGGUGUCCACUCCCAGGUUCUGCUGCAGCAGUCUGGAGCUGAGCUAGUGAAGCCUGGGACUUCAGGGAAGAUAUCCUGCAAGGCUUCUGGCUAUGACUUCACCAGCUACUAUAUGCACUGGGUGAAGCAGAGUCCUGAACAGGGACUGGAGUGGAUUGGAUGGAUUUAUCCUGGAAGUAGUAAUAUUUACUACAAUAAUAAAUUCAAAGGAAAGGCCACCUUGACUGCAGACAAAUCCUCCAACACAGCCUACAUGCAGCUCAGCAGCCUGACAUCUGAGGACUCUGCGGUCUAUUACUGUGCAAGACAGUCACAGUGUUAUAACCACAUCCUGAGUGUGUCAAAAACCCUUGAGGAGCAGAAAGCUGCCCUGAGCCUGAGGGCUGAGCCUAUGCACCUCUUCUGGGCAAAUGUUGGUAACUUGGUUCCAAGGGGAUCUCCAGUUCAUGUGAAGUCCUCAGUUCAG